GACGAAUGUGUGAGCAAACCCAGCAUAUGUGGACAGCACGGAGUGUGUACAAACACAGUUGGGAACUACACAUGUGAUUGUGAGGAAGGGUUUACGUCAGGAGAGGACCACGGACAAGGUUGUGUUGCAGAUAAGCCAGACACGUCUCACGAAUCUCCACAACUGCUACUUAUUGGACUAACUUCCGGUGUAGGCGGCGCUGGGCUGUUGACAGUAAUUGUCGUGGUUGUAUGUAUUUUUUUUAGAAAGAAGAAACAGCAGAGCAGUCACAGUUCGGCGGAAUUAGAAGAUCAGCCGAGGGAGGUUUCAGGUGUUCCCGGUGACGCUACGAAUCCUUCCCCCGAGCAUGUCAUGACCGAUUCUUCCGGUCCAGUUCAGGACGCCUGCACUCAGCGUAGUGAAACAUUUAGAUCCAACGGCUACUCAUUAGAAAACCGGUACAUGUAUGAGAUUGUGGACGAAGAUGGUUUAUCAAGAAAUGGCACUCGCGAGAAGGAUGGAUUGCCAGACUUAUAUUCAAAUCACUCUAUUCCUGAAAACAAAAUAAUACAAAACGAGUUAAAAAUAAUAAACCAAAGUGGACAUAUGAAGGACAAUGAUUACAAUACUCUAUAUGGCUUAAACUGUGGAUCUACCAAUGGGAAUGUAACAAUUAUUCAGCCCGUGUCGACCGGAAGUGUUGACUUGAAAGCUGAUGACGUUGUUAAUAAACGGGAAAAUGAUUGCGAAUAUGACCACUUGAAGUUAGAAACAGUUUGAACGAAUGCAAAAACACCAGAAAUCUAUCUUUGAAAUCCUGCAACAUGGGCCAGCUUUUUGUCUAGUAUACUUGACAAAUACGUAAGCUGUGUGAAAAAUUUUAACAUUUUAAAAUUGUCAUUACUAUUUUACCAUCUUUAUAAAUCAUAUAUUUCCUGUUACUUAU